CGUCUUAUCAGGUAACUCGCAUGGGA
rnacentral:sRNA from 1 species